rnacentral:piRNA from 1 species
UCUGAUGAUACAUUUUCUCAGGAACCUGC